ACAGAGCCCAGUUUUUCUAUAGCGUCUUGUACAGGAUUUUUCCUAGUCCUGCUCCGAUUAUUACUCUUAACAGUACAGGAUAAUCCGUAAAGCUCAGGAGGGAUAGCGCCAUGAAUUACUGUGAUCAUGAUCAUCGUGUUUGUGUGAUUAGUGGCGCUAUCUAUCCUGAGUUUCAUGGGUUCUUCAUACUUUCUUUGGACUGUGGUCUCAGCUCCGACCGAGAAGAAUAUGUUGUCGCUUCUGGAUAUUAUAUUCAAGGUGGAUCGUCUGGUUGGCCAUUAUAGACCACAUCUACGGUUGGGAGUGAUGAUUUUUAGGCCAAUUUGCAAGAGUCGAUAAGCCUGACCUAACUUUAGGGUGCAUGGUGUGUCUAAUUGUUUGGGGACAGAGAAACCAACGCACCUGUUAUGGAUGAUUAAACCCUUCGAUGUUGUGAUUAUAUAUAUAAGAUAAUUAUCUGCACAAAGUAAUGUACUUGAACAGGGACCUUACUUCUUUAAGAGUUUCUUUUAGGAGUUCCAUCCUGAUCUUGUAACUUCAAAAGCUUCUCCCAUUCAGGAUAUGCUAAUCCUUCUAAGGGAAACUUAAGCUCGUGUUGUUUGUUUUCUAUAUUUCAAAAUUCCAAGACUUUACUUGACCAACCAAUUCCUGUGAAAUCUAAAUACUUCGAUACUUGUUGUACUGACCAUUGCGGUCCAAAAACACUUGGAUUUGUGAGAUCUCAUGAUGGCAGCACAACCAACCCAGAUUAAGUGAAUGAGAAAAGGUAGAAAGGUAGAAAGGUAGAAAUUCUAUUGGCUCUCACUGUGCAUGUAUCGAUUUGUUGCUGCCAUCUAUGAAAACCUGAUUCGGGUACAUAUGCAACAUGCCUAUGGUGGAACGAGGAAGACAAGCUACAUACACCCUCAAACUGCACAAGAAUUUUGAGCUGCAAAUGGUAUCUUUUAAUGCAUGAGUUGUUAUGGUAUGUAUCAGGAGCAUCACCUUCUAUUUGUAUUACUAGUUCAAAUGAAUUCCAAUAAGAUUUCUGUCUACACGUAUCAAUCGUGUAUACAUUUCCUAACUGAUCAGUGUAUCAUAAUCUUAACCAUUGUGAAUAUUUCAUUGAUAAAUGUUUAGACGAUUCACAAGUUAGAUAGAAAGCCCAAUUCCGACCCUAUGCUAUGCUGGGAAGGGCACUUGCGAAAGUUAUGGGACUUAAUGUGGUGGGAGUAAUGGAAUUCCUGCAGGGCCCUGCAGUAACUAUCACUGGCAAGCUAGCUUAUGAAUUCCACUUAAAAAUAGAGAGAUGCUACCCCAAGAGAUUACAAGUAAAUUUACUGCUUGCUGUGGUACAUGGCGGACUUUAUAUCUUCUUUUAUAAGUCGAUGAAAUGUUUUUGUGGUUAGAAAGUAUUUUUGAAA